CUUUCCGGGAGCAUGACAUCCCUCUGCCUGGCUCCCACAGAACGGGGCAGGGAAGGUUGGAAUUAACAUGAAAACAGAGGGAAUCCAAAGAAAAGAAAGUAAUUUCAGCUUAUGAAAUUCAAAGUAGGCUUUUGCAGGACUGGAGCACUCCACGGCCAGGCACGAUGAUGGCGAUGAUGGCGAGAAAGGAUUAGCAUAACUUUCUGGAGCCCUCGACUGUCACUUAGCAGGGAUAUGGCACACAGGCCAGAAGGUCAGCUGAAGGGCCCACCAUGUUGUGAUAAUGGAGAUUCCACCAGCAUCAGCUGGAGAAGGACGUGGCAGAGACUCAGAGAGGUCAAGAGCUCUUCAAGAGGAUCGGCCACCAUGGACAACACAGGGCCCUGACAAUGGCGGAGAACAGGACAUGAGUCUGUCAGCUCCAGAAACAUGAUUACGAAGUGGUCUUGCUCCAUCGCGCCA
rnacentral:lncRNA from 1 species